GACGUAGGGGGCAAGCGUUAUUCGGAAUUAUUGGGCGUAAAGCGCUCGUAGGCGGGACUGGAAGUCCGUGUUGAAAGACCUCGGCUCAACUGAGGGACCGGCUCGGAUACUCUAGUUCUUGAGGCAAUCAGAGGGUGAUGGAAUUCCCGGUGUAGCGGUGAAAAUGCGUAGAUAUCGGGAGGAACACCAGUGGCGAAGGCGAUCACCUGGGGUUGUUCUGACGCUGAGGAGCGAAAAGCUAGGGGGAGCAAACGGG
rnacentral:rRNA from 1 species